AUACCUUUAGUAUAAUUAAUACAUUUGAUUUCCAAUUAAAUAAUUCUUAUAAUUUAAGAAAAGUAUA
rnacentral:tRNA from 1 species